rnacentral:lncRNA from 1 species
UCCUGGCCAAUAGGAAGCCAAGCAUUGGACCCGUGGCGCCAAAUCCUGUCCUCCCCGCUUUCAGAAGCUAGAAUCAGCCUUAUUGCACCCCUCAGAGAUCACAGCAGCAGUCAGUGCUCUCCUCAGAGAUCUGAAUUCUACUUUCAUGCGGCCCCUCCCCUGAGCUCCUGAGAUAGCCAAUGUUUGAGCCACCUCCUCAGAAGUUUGAGCCUCAACACCGUGGGAUCCCUUCUUUGUGCUCCAGAGAUCCAGUAACAGCCAGCCAUCACCCUCUCUUCAUUCUUCAUAGGCCUGAACUAAGGUGUUCAGGGCCCUCCUUCAAGCUUUUAGGUUCUGAUGACUCCAACCACUUCUUUUGUUCCAUCCUUUCCUAGCUCUAGGAAUGGUAGCUGCUACCUGCAGUGAUUACCUGUUACCUUUUAUAAUUCCUUUUGACCAAUUUCCCAUAUUAAAAUAUUUCUCAAUAACUAAUGUGAUUUCUGUUUUCCUGACUGGACCCUGAUUUUAAAAUGCACACAAAAGCCAGGUGCAGUGGCUUAUGCCUGUAAUCCCACCACUGUGGGAGGCCGAGGCAGGUGGAUCACCUGAAGUCAGGAGUUCGAGACCAGCCUGGCCAACAUGGCAAAAACCCAUCGCUACUAAAAAUACGAAAAUUAGCUGGGCAGUGGUGGCAGGUGCCUGCAAUCCCAGCUACUUGGAAGGCUGAGGCACGAGAAUCUCUUGAACCCGGGAGGCGAAGGUUGCAGUAAGCCAAGAUCAUGCCACUG